UUUUGUUUUUUUUCUUUUUC
rnacentral:miRNA from 1 species